rnacentral:rRNA from 1 species
GACGAACGCUGGCGGCGUGCCUAAUACAUGCAAGUGGGACGCAAGGAAACACACUGUGCUUGCACACCGUGUUUUCUUGAGUCGCGAACGGGUGAGUAACGCGUAGGUAACCUGCCUAUUAGCGGGGGAUAACUAUUGGAAACGAUAGCUAAUACCGCAUAAUAUUAAUUAUUGCAUGAUAAUUGAUUGAAAGAUGCAAGCGCAUCACUAGUAGAUGGACCUGCGUUGUAUUAGCUAGUUGGUAAGGUAAGAGCUUACCAAGGCGACGAUACAUAGCCGACCUGAGAGGGUGAUCGGCCACACUGGGACUGAGACACGGCCCAGACUCCUACGGGAGGCAGCAGUAGGGAAUCUUCGGCAAUGGACGAAAGUCUGACCGAGCAACGCCGCGUGAGUGAAGAAGGGUUUCGGAUCGUAAAGCUCGGUUGUAAGUCAAGAACGUGUGUGAGAGUGGAAAGUUCACACAGUGACGGUAGCUUACCAGAAAGGGACGGCUAACUACGUG